rnacentral:rRNA from 1 species
UUUAUGGAGAGUUUGAUCCUGGCUCAGGAUGAACGCUGGCGGCGUGCCUAAUACAUGCAAGUCGAGCGAACGGACGAGAAGCUUGCUUCUCUGAUGUUAGCGGCGGACGGGUGAGUAACACGUGGAUAACCUACCUAUAAGACUGGGAUAACUUCGGGAAACCGGAGCUAAUACCGGAUAAUAUUUUAAACCGCAUGGUUCAAAAGUGAAAGACGGUCUUGCUGUCACUUAUAGAUGGAUCCGCGCUGCAUUAGCUAGUUGGUAAG